CAGGCUUAACACAUGCAAGUCGAGGGGCAGCAUGGUCUUAGCUUGCUAAGGCCGAUGGCGACCGGCGCACGGGUGAGUAACACGUAUCCAACCUGCCGUCUACUCUUGGACAGCCUUCUGAAAGGAAGAUUAAUACAAGAUGGCAUCAUGAGUCCGCACGUUCACAUGAUUAAAGGUAUUCCGGUAGACGAUGGGGAUGCGUUCCAUUAGAUAGUAGGCGGGGUAACGGCCCACCUAGUCUUCGAUGGAUAGGGGUUCUGAGAGGAAGGUCCCCCACAUUGGAACUGAGACACGGUCCAAACUCCUACGGGAGGCAGCAGUGAGGAAUAUUGGUCAAUGGGCGAGAGCCUGAACCAGCCAAGUAGCGUGAAGGAUGACUGCCCUAUGGGUUGUAAACUUCUUUUAUAAAGGAAUAAAGUCGGGUAUGGAUACCCGUUUGCAUGUACUUUAUGAAUAAGGAUCGGCUAACUCCGUGCCAGCAGCCGCGGUAAUACGGAGGAUCCGAGCGUUAUCCGGAUUUAUUGGGUUUAAAGGGAGCGUAGAUGGAUGUUUAAGUCAGUUGUGAAAGUUUGCGGCUCAACCGUAAAAUUGCAGUUGAUACUGGAUAUCUUGAGUGCAGUUGAGGCAGGCGGAAUUCGUGGUGUAGCGGUGAAAUGCUUAGAUAUCACGAAGAACUCCGAUUGCGAAGGCAGCCUGCUAAGCUGCAACUGACAUUGAGGCUCGAAAGUGUGGGUAUCAAACAGGAUUAGAUACCCUGGUAGUCCACACGGUAAACGAUGAAUACUCGCUGUUUGCGAUAUACUGCAAGCGGCCAAGCGAAAGCGUUAAGUAUUCCACCUGGGGAGUACGCCGGCAACGGUGAAACUCAAAGGAAUUGACGGGGGCCCGCACAAGCGGAGGAACAUGUGGUUUAAUUCGAUGAUACGCGAGGAACCUUACCCGGGCUUAAAUUGCAGAUGAAUUACGGUGAAAGCCGUAAGCCGCAAGGCAUCUGUGAAGGUGCUGCAUGGUUGUCGUCAGCUCGUGCCGUGAGGUGUCGGCUUAAGUGCCAUAACGAGCGCAACCCUUGUUGUCAGUUACUAACAGGUUCCGCUGAGGACUCUGACAAGACUGCCAUCGUAAGAUGUGAGGAAGGUGGGGAUGACGUCAAAUCAGCACGGCCCUUACGUCCGGGGCUACACACGUGUUACAAUGGGGGGUACAGAGGGCCGCUACCACGCGAGUGGAUGCCAAUCCCCAAAACCUCUCUCAGUUCGGACUGGAGUCUGCAACCCGACUCCACGAAGCUGGAUUCGCUAGUAAUCGCGCAUCAGCCACGGCGCGGUGAAUACGUUCCCGGGCCUUGUACACACCGCCCGUCAAGCCAUGGGAGCCGGGGGUACCUGAAGUGCGUAACCGCGAGGAGCGCCCUAGGGUAAAACUGGUGACUGGGGCUA
rnacentral:rRNA from 1 species